rnacentral:ncRNA from 1 species
UAUUCCCUAACUGAGAUGGAAAGAUUGUGUUCUUCGGAGCACAAGCGCGGUAACGCGUUCGAACUUGGUAAAUUCGCUCAGAGACCGAGCUAGAGUUUUUCUUCUCUAGUUAAGGAACGGACUCCCUGGAAUUGGUUCAGCCAGAGAUGGGGACGUUGUUUCCGAAAAGCACCGCGGUUUCUGUGGUGUCUCGUGCUCUCUGAACGGCCCUUUAAACACCAAGGGAGGCUAUUAAUUUGCACUCAAUCGUACCGAUAUCCGCAUUAGGUCUCCAAGGUGAACAGCCUCUAGUCGAUAGAAUAAUGUAGGUAAGGGAAGUCGGCAAACUAGAUCCGUAACUUCGGGAAAAGGAUUGGCUCCAGUGGUCGGAACGGUUGGCCAGUUGGUUGAUGCUUGUCCGGCGCUGUUCUGUCUGCUUGAUGCUUUCGGGCUGAUGGCGGCCUAGUGAUAGUGCUUGCUUGUUGACGCUUUCUGGUGUGUGCUUUGACCUCGGUCUUAGUAUCCUGAUCGUUCAUCUAAACGACUAAACUGGAACCGGUACGGACUCAGGGAAUCCGACUGUCUAAUUAAAACAGAGGUGACAGAUGGUCCUUGCGGACGCUGACUGUCACUGAUUUCUGCCCAGUGCUCUGAAUGUUAAAUCGUAGUAAUUCGAGUAAGCGCGGGUAAACGGCGGGAGUAACUAUGACUCUCUUAAGGUAGCCAAAUGCCUCGUCAUUUAAUUGUUGACGCGCAUGAAUGGAUUAACGAGAUUCCUACUGUCCCUAACUACUAUCUAGCGAAACCACAGCCAAGGGAACGGGCUUGGCAAAAAUAGCGGGGAAAGAAGACCCUGUUGAGCUUGACUCUAGUUUGACAUUGUGAAGAGUCAUGAGAGGUGUAGCAUAGGUGGGAGUCUUCGGACGCCAAUGAAAUACCACCACUUUCAUCGACUCUUUACUUAUUCGGUUAAAAGAGAAUUGGUCGCAAGGCCUCUUUUCGAAGUAUUAAGCGGAUCCAUUUUAUGGAACCGUGACUCUCCCCGAAGACAGUGUCAAGCGGGGAGUUUGACUGGGGCGGUACAUCUAUCAAAUCGUAACGUAGGUGUCCUAAGGCGAGCUCAGAGAGGACGGAAACCUCUCGUAGAGCAAAAGGGCAAAAGCUUGCUUGAUCUUGACUUUCAGUACGAGUACAGACCGCGAAAGCGUGGCCUAUCGAUC